AAUCAUCUCUCGUUCUAUAUCAUCUUUCGCUGUUUCACGAAUCCAAUUCUUAACCAUUUGUUUUAUUUGAUCUUGAUUUGGGGAGUUGGACAUUUUGAAAGAAAAAUAGAAUUAAGAAAUAAACACAAAAAACAGAAGAUGAGUUAUAGUAUACAAUAAUGAGAACUAGAAGUAUAUAUAGAUAAGAAAACUAAAAAUAAGUAUAAUUAAAAAAACUACAAAUAAUUUAGCAAACAAGCUAGUGUCUGUUGCUUACAAAAAAAAAGGAUGAAACUAAAAUGCAAAUGGCCUACCAACAAUUUCAGAAAAAAAAAAAAAAAAAAAAAAAAAAAACGGAAAAUUUUAAACUUAGAAAAAAAAAUGCAAUGAAAGUGUGAUUUUCAGCCUCUUCGCCUAUUUCGAAAUGUAGAAAAAUGAAUAUCAGCCAAAAAAAUGGAAAUGCAUCAAAAAUUGGAAAUGGAUGAAAGCU
rnacentral:lncRNA from 1 species